GUCAGUACCUAGAGGAGCUGCCUACAAGAAACAUCAAGAAGACAUCUUGGGGACAUCUCUAAUAUUCAGACCACCUACAAGACUUGAAAAAGAGGGAACAAUCACAUGGAAGAUUGAAAAAUUCUAUUGAAAAAAUGUUGGUUCUUGCACCUUCAAGGUGAAGUAUGCAGUAGUCUUGUGAUUAGUUGGAGAGAAAGAUAAACUGACCCAGAGGAUAUGAUACAACACACCUGUUCUUUAGAUGUAAAAAUUUCACAGAAAUUUAAUCAAUGCAGUCUGCAUCUUGCUGUCCAUGUUCACCUCCAGAUACAGACAGAUUUGUUUGAAGAAAAAUUAAACAUUUUUUUCUCA